CCGACCUUAGCUCAGUUGGUAGAGCGGAGGACUGUAGUUGGGGGUAAACCUAUGAGAUAUCCUUAGGUUGCUGGUACGAACCCGGCAGGUCGGA
rnacentral:tRNA from 1 species